GGUGUUUGUUUGAGGGUAGUAAAAAUAAUUUCAAGGAAUCUAAGGUUGGAAUUAAACAUUCCUUUGUUUGGUAGGUGGGAACCACACAAAUAUGUCCAGGAAUGCAAUUUUCCCAGGAAAGCCAUCUACCCACGUUUUCCCCCAUUUCUUCCCCACGUUCACCCUUUGUUCCAUCCCUUUUAUUCCCAUGAGAUAGCUUGGGAAAGUUUUAUUCCCAGGAAAUGGAAACCCAUGAUCUUGAAUAAAAUACCAUAUUUUCCCUUGCCAUUCCCGCUAAAUUUUUCUCUGUUAUUCCCGCUAAUUUUUUCACCCAUGAUCUUUGUAGUGUUCAUCAACUGCUUGUUGUUUGAGUUUUGGAUUUCACUCUUCUCUUCAAGGAACAAGAUUUCCAGCUUUUGGAUCCGAGCUUUUCUCAAGCUUCUGAUUUUUUCUACUGAUUAUUUACCGAGCAUAUUCAUACUUUUAUGAUUUUUUAGGUUUUUGUGACUGCUAUUGCUUUUCAUUUAGUUUUUGUGGCUGCUACUGCUUUUCAUUUAGAUUUAUGGUUUAUACAACGGGGGCAUUUGCGUAA